rnacentral:rRNA from 1 species
ACCUGCGGAGGGAUCAUUACAGAGACUCUGCCCUUUGGGUAGACCUCCCACCCUGUGUCGUUAUACCUUCGUUGCUUUGGCGGGCCGCGGGGCCCCGGCCCCGCCCCUGGCUCCGGCUAGGGCGCGCCCGCCAGAGGACCUCAAAACCUGAAUGUUAGUGUCGUCUGAGUACUAUAUAAUAGUUAAAACUUUCAACAACGGAUCUCUUGGUUCUGGCAUCGAUGAAGAACGCAGCGAAAUGCGAUAAGUAAUGUGAAUUGCAGAAUUCAGUGAAUCAUCGAAUCUUUGAACGCACAUUGCGCCCCUUGGUAUUCCGGGGGGCAUGCCUGUUCGAGCGUCAUUACAACCCUCAAGCUCUGCUUGGUCUUGGGCGUCACCGGUCCCGGUGUGCCUUAAAAUCAGUGGCGGCGCCAUCUGGCUCUAAGCGUAGUACAUACUCUCGCUACAGACGUCCGGUGGAUGCUGGCCAGCAACCCCCAACUUAUCAAGGUUGACCUCGGAUCAGGUAGGGAUACCCGCUGAACUUAAGCAUAUCAAA